rnacentral:rRNA from 1 species
UACAGAGGGUGCGAGCGUUGUCCGGAAUUAUUGGGCGUAAAGAGCUCGUAGGCGGUUUGUCGCGUCUGCUGUGAAAACCCGAGGCUCAACCUCGGGCCUGCAGUGGGUACGGGCAGACUAGAGUGCGGUAGGGGGAGAUUGGAAUUCCUGGUGUAGCGGUGGAAUGCGCAGAUAUCAGGAGGAACACCAAUGGCGAAGGCAGAUCUCUGGGCCGUAACUGACGCUGAGGAGCGAAAGCGUGGGGAGCGAACAGG